UACGAAGGGGGCUAGCGUUGUUCGGAAUUACUGGGCGUAAAGCGUGCGCAGGCGGCCAUCCAAGUCAGUGGUGAAAGCCCGGAGCUCAACUCCGGAAUUGCCAUUGAAACUGUUUGGCUCGAGUACGAGAGAGGUGAGUGGAAUUCCCAGUGUAGAGGUGAAAUUCGUAGAUAUUAGGAAGAACACCAGUGGCGAAGGCGGCUCACUGGCCCGGUACUGACGCUGAGGCGCGGAAAGCGUGGGGAGCAAACAGG
rnacentral:rRNA from 1 species